UACGGAGGGUGCGAGCGUUGUCCGGAAUCAUUGGGCGUAAAGGGCGCGUAGGUGGCCACUUCAAGCGUGCGGUGAAAGUCGGGGGCUCAAACCCCUGAUCGGCCGUGCGAACUGGGGGGCUGGAGCACUGUAGAGGCAGGCGGAAUUCCGGGUGAUGAGCGGUGGAAUGACGUAGAGAGUCCGGAAGAACACCGGUGGCGAAGGCGGCCUGCUGGGCAGUUUGCUGACACUGAGGCGCGACAGCGUGGGGAGCAAACAGG
rnacentral:rRNA from 1 species